AGGGCUGUGAAGCAUACUCAGCCGCCCUCCUAAAACCCCCAAACCAUAGAACGAGAAAUUCUUGUCGCCGUCUCCCGGUAGGGGAACUUGCCGGUACGUCUCCUCCGCUAUAUCGAAAGAAACGAUUGAGAAAGGUCUCUCAUCGUCACCAUUUGCGGAAGCUUGAUCAGUAGUCUUUCCGCGGCGGACUGCCCAGUGGAGAGCCCCGUUGAGUAGGGUUCCGACAAGGUUGAACAGUAAGUAAAAAGGCAGGGUUUCGGACCUGGCUCUCCAUGUAUUGGUCUUCAAAGAAUAAAUGUCAAGUUGGGUGGCGAAAACGCCGGCCUUACUUGAAGAAGUGGCCCUCACUAUUUUAUAGUCUUCCUUGCGCGAAUCGUAACCGAAGCCAUAGAAGUAAUCCUUACCGGAGAUUGUCGGCAACUUUGGGGCUGCAUGAACCUGCCUGGUGGAUGGAUUAUAAAUCAUCAUAUCUUCCGAGUCAACCACCAAACACACCAGGCCGUUACAAGAGCCGACAAUCUUCAUGUCUUUGACCGGCCGCCUCAUUAUCACAGAGUACUCAUGCUCCGCCUCCACGACCCUUGUAGUACUAUUAGCACCAGUUGUGCCAGCUGCUUCUGCCUUCGCUUCUGUUUCUGCCUUUGCUUCUGCUAGACUUUCUGCUUCACCGUCGCCACGGGAUGGCAAGGUUGCCGUUGCGGGUGCAUCAAUAGUAGUGGUAUUGAGAACUUGUAUGUGGACGGACUGGAGGAGGGACAAAGAGGAGAGCAUGAGUCGUGCUUUUGACGAUGUAGUUUUGCCGUGAGCAUCAUGAUCAUGAUCACGAUCAUCGUCAUCGUCAUCUUGUUUGGUAGAGCGGAUAAGGAGGUGUGACUUGACAAACUUUGGGUCGGAGAUGAGAGCAAGCCAUGGCUUGCAUACGCUUCUGAAACGAAGAAGGGACUUCACCGGCAGUUGCAGCAGAAUUUCCUCCGCAAUCUCAUAAGGAAGCUGCCGCUGAUCAUCGUGUUCAUUAUGCAUAUUGGAAUGAUCCAAUAAGGUUCCCAUGUAUACAAUUGGUUGAGGGAGGCUUGAUGAAACUUUAGACUUUGAGUUCCAGUAUUUAUAGAGCAAUCACUGUACUAACUGAGUGCAAGUUGAGAGGUUUGAUCCUUCACCUACAGGUAAAUUCCAUCUGUCAUUUUAGCGUCUAUUUAUAAAUUAUUAAAGGACAACUACUGCAGAUUAACUAAACGAUAAAGCUAGCUAAUUAAACAAAUCUUUAACAAUAUGUAAUAAUAAAACAAGGAUUACUUUGUGGAACUUGCAUAUCGACUCCAGAAUGAAGUCAAUGAUAUUUGUAUCGACCUUAUUGAAUUAACAUGACCCAAAAUAUGACUGCCUAGACUAACCUGUACUAAUUUGGAGCGGCGGAUAAGCAUAAACAAGACCUUUAUAUAAUAAGUUGGAAGAUAAUAUGCAUUGGAAGCGAGCAAUAAGAAUAGGGAACUUUAACAAAAAGCUUCCGGUACUGUUCAUUUUAACGAAAAACUACAUUUUUACACUAAAAAGUCAAUCCUUAUAUUAUUCACUUUACCCUUUAUUUUGUCAUUAUCGUUAAAACUCAAAGUUUUCAAACCACUUUAAUUAGUUUUCUUAUAAUAUAAAGUUUAUGAUAGACAUAUAUCUGAUAACCACGAUCCGUUCAUCUAAUGCAUCCUAAUUUCAGAUAGAUCAAAUUACUUGUACAUAUAAAACCGAUCAGUCUAUCAUAAAUCAUCAUUCAAAGUAACAUGAAAGUACUUCAACUUGUAUACACAAUCGACCACAUAUAAUUGAGUUUCAGUUGAGGUUUAAAAGUAGCUAAGUAAGUGGCUAUAGAAGCAAAUAUUAUAGGCCGGCCGACUUUGGGAUGCGCGAGCUUGAAAGAUCAACCACCGGUCAAUAUUUAAUCUAUAUAUGUAACACUAUUAACUGACAAGGCUAGCUAAUGUAUUAUGUAAUAAUACCAUCUCCAUCUCUAUCUAACUAUACAACUGACGCAUGCAUAAAUCUAUAUAACAAAAUAAACGUUUACAAGCAUGCAAUUUGAUGUUGCGAUUCCAAUCAAUACAAAACUGAUUACACGCACGUAUAUAUGUGUGUGCGCGCGCGCGCAUAGUGGUUGUUGAGGUGGGAAGUGUAAAUUACCUGCAGGUCGGGCGUGAUCGGUUGAAGAAAUUAAUUACGUGGGACUUGGACUCCAUUCAUUACAAUAUUGCAGAGUGCAGAAAUUAGGGUUUAUUAUUCAUAUGGUCCUCCACUCCCUCAUUGCCAAGAGUUUAAUGACCUAUCUUCAUCUUCAGCCCCCCAAGAUGCAGAAAGUGAAAAUUCUAGAAUGCAUAGAUGCAUAACUUAUGCAUAUGGUGCUUUACUACAGUGGUAGAAAACAAUCAUGUUUAUGCACUUUGGUGCGGAUUGAUCUCCAUCGAUUUCCUCACCCAUAAUAAAGAACUACUUAACCAACUAAUGCUAUCGUUCUAGUAAAAAAAUAAGCUUAACAUAUUGUUUGGACCCAAUUUUACAAAAUCAGUUCGGCGUUAGAUGGACGAAAUAUGUGGAUCGUUCCUAGGAUAAAGAUGUUUUUUUUACGAUAAUUAUUCUGAUUAACGAUAUCUAGAUAUUAUCAAUCAGAAUAGUUAUCUUGGAAUUUAAAUACAUCAACAAAUAGAUUUUUAUCCAACAAAAUUGUAGGUGGAUUCCAUCUUGUCAUAUAGCCUUCAUGCAUGGUUGCGGCUGGAUAUAUCAGCAUGGGGUUUGAUUAGAGUUGUUAGAUGCAUGGUCUUUAUGCAUGCAUAGGUGACUUGCAAGUGGGAUAAGUUCCAGUAGUUAGUUGGAUAGGUGUCUGCAACGUGUGGGGCGUAUAGGCAUUGAGAAAAACAAGGUGAUUGUUUUGGAUGUGAAAAGAGCCGUGUGUGAUUAUCCAACAAAUUCAGUGAUGGGAUAAAGUUAAAGUCAAAGUGGGAAUAAAACAGGAUUAGCAUGCAGAGUCCUUAUGUGGUGAUCGUUUUAUUUCUCAGAAUAUUCCAUUACAAGUCUUUAGGUGCAAUUGAAAUCCUCUGCUUAUCAUUCAGGCCGUGGCAAGCUAACUCGUCCCUAUAAAUACAAGAUGCUGAGCAACAUUUGAGGGCCCCCACAAAAUCAAUACAAAAUUGCCCUGCGCAAACUCUCACAACUUGAGAUCUUUUUCUUUUCCUUUUUCGCUGACACAUCUUCCGUUGGCAUCAACAGCACUGUGGAAGCACCCGGUGGUAUCUUAAGUCGGCAUAGAUAGCUCUGUCACCGUAGAGUCGGUCGGUCUCGCAGUAUCUUCCGUUGGCAUCAACAGCACUGCGGCGAGAACGGUCGGUUACCUAUCCAAGUCUCGGUCGAGGAGGGUUUUCGAAUCCUUGUUGGUCGAGGUCAUCUCAUUAGCCUUCUCGGCGAGGUGAGGUGUCACAUUUAUUACAUUCGGCACAUUGCAAGCCGAAUUCGGUUCGUGAACUUUGUAAGAAAUAGCAGCCUUGUCUUCAGGCUCGAGAACCCAAGAGGCCGAGACGUGUUCCUUUCUCGGCCACAAUCGCAAGACGCAGAAGUCAGUAGCGCGACUCGGCACAGCAUUAUCAAAUUUACUCCUCGGCCGAGCCUCGGCCGACGAGUUGGCACGCCCCGCAAUCACCGAAGGACGUAGUUAGCUUAUUAAUUACUCGGCCUGCGCGCCACGUAGGCUUUGUAGUUUCUAGGGUCAACACAUAUAUUGCGGAAUUUAACGAAUAAAUUUACGUUGAAAAGUUUGAGAAAAUUUAAUAGGUGGAUAUGAUUUACUUGGAAGGCAAUGUAUAGUGUCAUUAGUGCUAUAGUUUAUGGUCUUCCAUUUCACUUGUAUAAGUGAGAAAUCUGAAGUUUUUAAUUCUCGUAAAUUACAAAUCCGAUACUAAUUUUUCAAGCUGAGCUAUUGUGUGAUUUACUCCAAUCCAUAUCGCUGUGUAUAAGUACAAUAUACCCAAAUAUACAUUGUUAUAUAGUAGGACUCUCCAGAGCUCUCCUGUUGUUGACCUCUCAGUGCUGAUUUGGAUUGGCCAACCAUUUUGGGGAAAACUAAUUAUUUUUUAGGUUGCAAUUGGGUUUGUACAAAAUUGAGUUAAUUACUUAAUUAGUUCAACUAAUUUGUACUUGUUUCCUAAUAAGACCCUACAAUUGUAUAUAAACUUGUUUGGGCCCAAAAUAGUAUUUUGGGUCGAGCUAAGAGUCAUUCUUGACCCAGUAACAUUCAUCUAGAAUCUUGUCAUGGGCUGUCUAGUCAAGGUCAGCCGAAUACUGUUGCGAGGUGGAUUGGUUUAGAUAAGAGUGAGGUAGUCAAACCCUAGUGCAACAAGGAGUCUUAAAGCUGAAGAUGCUUAGAAUUAGGGGAUAAUCUGGUUCAUUAAGAAGCUUUGUUCAAAGUUCUAUAAGGGUUAGGAUUGGCCGAAACCUGAUCAGGUUGGGUUGAUGAGUUCUAAUCUGAGUACAUUUCUAGUUUAGCCAUGAGAAGGUUUGUUGCUAUCAAUAGAUAAGGGGAUGCAUCAUUCAAGGCCCCUUAAAAUCAACACAUAAAUUCCCCUGCGCAAAGCUUCUCAACAAUCUUGACAUUUUUUCCUCUUCCCCCAUCUUUUGGCCAACACAUCUUCAGUUUAGAUAAACAGGAAUGUGAAGGCAACCGUCAACAUCUUCAAUUUGGAUAAACAACACUGGAGUCAUCGAAUCAGCUGACCGAUGAGCAUCUUUAGUUUGGAUAAACAGCACUGCUUCGAGAUCGACUGGUUAUUAUCCAAGUCUCGGUUGGCAAUGAUUCUUUAGUCUUUGUUGGCAGAUGUCAUCUCAUCAACCUUCUCAGUGAAGUGAGGUGUUACAGGUUACUAGGCUUGACACAUUGAACAUCGAGUGUUAUUUUAUGAUCAUAUAUUCGCAAGUACAUUUUAGAGCUCGGCAUUCCGAUGGCCAAACCACAUUUACAAUCAAGACAUUUAUUUUUUUUGAGUGCUUAUGUCUGUAUAUUUUGGUACCAGUUCGACGCACUUAUACUCUCACGAAUAUAAUUACCGAGACCGAACCCAGCGCUGACGAUUCGUGAACUUCAAAUAAACUAGUAGCCUUAUUUUCAGGCUCUAGAACCCAAAGGCUGAGACGUAUUCCUUCCUUUGCCGUAGUCGUAAAAUCAAGAAGUUAGUAACGCGCCCAACGCAACGUCAACAUAUUUUACUCCUCGACCAAACUCGGCCGAUGAGUUGGCACGCUCCACACACAACCGAAGGAUGGAGUUAGCUUAUUAGUUACUCGACAUGCGCGCCACGUAAGCUUGGUAGUUUUUAGGGUUAACAUUUUGGCAUGCCCAGUGGGACCCAGUGCUAGAGCUACGCAGUUCAUGACCAUUGAAACACGAUCAAUAAAAAAGAAAACAGGCAUGGGUAAAUCAAUGAAUAAUCUUCCACCUACAGUCCAAAGCCCAGGACAUGAUGGCUUGUCACAUGCAAAGAAUCCUAUUGCUGCCGUAACACCUGAAGCCACAAAUGCAAUAUGCCAAGAAAAGGAAGUUAAUCUUGGCGGUUAGACUCAUGAUACAUAAAUCCCCACCAAAAUGACAAAAAAACGUUUUUGUUGAAGGACUAGUGGAAGAUUGUGAUGAUGACGAGGAUGAGGCCUUUGGUCCACAAUCUAAGUCUUUUCUUCGAAUACGAUUUGAAGAACAAUCUUGGAAGUUUGAGCAAAUGUUCAGUUAAGAGGUAAAAAGCAUACUUGAAGAGAGGUAAUAGCGCUAUACACAACAGGGUGCUCGAAGUUCUGGUUAAUAAAGUCCGCAAAGUUGAGCCUGCUGAUUGAUCCAGGCAGCCUUAUCUUCUAAAGAAUAAUUCCCUACCAGCAAUGCAGGCCAAGAUAGGAUCUGCUCGACUCAAAAUGAUUGACUUAGAGAAAAAUGGUGGAUCAAGUAGCAGAUCGGACAUAAUUGACUAAGGAGCAGAAACUGCACUUGUUGACAUGGUCGAGGUCCAAAGAAUGAUUGAUUCAGCCUUAAAAAAUGGGUCGAAGUUUCCAAAAUUCAUUAACCAUAUCCAGCCUUUGUGGAAAGAUUCGAGUAUCCUAAGGGAUUCAAGAUUCCAGACUUUAGCCUUUUUGUUGGAGAGUCAUCAUUGUCCUUCUUAGAACACGUGGCUCGAUUCACUGCUAAAUUUGGAGAUGUUAACAGUGAUUUUCAUAAACUACGACAAUUCAAUUUCUCAUUAACCGACUCAGUGUUCGCAUGGUACAUCAACCUCUCACCCAACUCCAUCUAAAGCUGGAAUGAAUUGGUCGAAAAAUUCCAUGAGCAAUUAUAUCGGCUAGGGAUGGAAAUGUUAGUUUCUUCUUUGGCCAUGAUGGCUCAAUCAUCUGACGAGUCGUUAAUGAAAUAUCUUACGAGGUUUAAAUCAGCCAGAAAGUGGUGCCGAGUACCCCUCCCUAAAGUCGAGUUUGUUAGGCUUGCCCUGAAUGGCCUGGAUGUGGAAUACAAGAAGAAAUUCCUGGGGGCAAACUUCCGAGAUAUGUAUGAAUUGGCUCAACAUAUCGAGCAAUAUGAUUAUUUGCUCUGAUAAGAGAAAAUCUCAAAAUCUCCAACCCAAUGGAUGAUCUACAAGAACCCGAUGGUAAGUUAUGCAUCAGCCAAAGGCGAAGAGUCCUAAUAUGCCAGUAUAGAUGUGACCAAGAUAGUAAUUAACAAACCAUACAUAUACAAAGCGUUGGCUCACGCUAGCUCUAAAGAUGUCAAAACUCGUUCGGCUUCUGCGAAAGCCGCUGUCAAAAUGUCAAAGGUAUUUCGACAUCACCAAGGCCGACGCCAUCUUCGACCAGUUGUUACUUGUAAAAACCGCCAACCUUCGGCCAUGACAUAAUAUCCCUAAGGCUGAAGAUUUGAAAGGAAAAAUGUAUUGCAAGUACCACAACUUGAACAAGCAUACGACAAAUAAUUGUAUCGUAUUUCACGACGCCAUCUAAAGCUGGAUCGAUAAUAGCAAAGUCAAGUUUCCCGAGAAACCUCCAAUGGUCAUUGACAUCGAUCAUUUCCUUUUGACGAUGGUAAGCAUGGUAGAUACUCAUUUACCCAAGGAUAAGAGGAAAGGAAAAGCCGAAUUCAUCCCGACUCAACAAGUCCUUGAGUAGAAUUCUCAACCGCGAAUGAAAGUUGAUCUAUCUUUGAACGAGCCACCCAAAUACUUUUUAAACCUGCUUAUGCCGAGUUACUGUCAGACUCCAGCAUAAAGGAAACUAACGGGCCGAUGGUUUUAUGUAGUCGAUGCAAAUCAAACGUCAUCAUAAUUAAGCUGAAGGAAUAGCCGCUUCAGGCUGAAGCACCGCAAUUGACGCAUGCAGCCAUGGCAACAUCUCAAAAAGUCCUUGAUGCAAGCUAAUGCCAGAAAGUUUUCGAUAGGCUUGACCCUCAAACACAGGAUAAUAAGUCAUCUUCGGCCAAACGAUGACUUGAUUUCGACGUGCCAUUUUACAAUAAAGAUUGUUAUGCGUGCAACUCUGGUAUCUCAAGUUCACCUACGUACCGGUGAACCUUCAAGCCACAUAAGCCACGCGACCAGCAUUGGUAUAGCUACAACUCCCCUACCGGUGCAUAAACUGCAUUGUCCAAGUCGUAAAAAUGUUACCUCCAAAUAAUAGACUGUAUGGCUCACUGAUGAGCAGCCUAGGUUACCCCAGGUACCAAAUGGUAGCUGAAAGAAAUGGUGGAUAACGAAGAUGACCAACAACCUCCGGCAAUCAUGGCCGAGCUGCUUUGAGGAAAGAUGGUGAUCAAUCGUGAUUUUGGAACCACAAUUGAAGAAUCCGAGAAUCGAAUUAAACUCCUUCGGCCUAAGGAGAUAAAUGUUCGCAUUGAGCACUUAUAGAAGAAAGUCAAAAGCAAGCGUCCUCCACUACCCUCACAAAAGCCAUUAAUUAAAUUUUGGUGAAAUAUCCACCCGCUGUUUCUUGGUUAAGCUUUGGAAUACAUGCGGGAGUUUCACAAGAAACAUUCGGCUAAGGACUUGUAUGGCCUACCAAAAGCAUGUCAAGAGUCUCUUCAUCUGGCGUUAACCUGCCCCGAUGCUGAACAGAUCAUCCAAAAGACCAUGGAUCCGGGAAUGAAAGCUAGGUUCCAACAUAUACGCGAGGCCCGAGUUCUCGGCUUUGAGGUAGAACCUUACACUGAUAUUGAUACUGCCGAUCUUCCUUUCUCUCUCGAGGACCUCCAAUAUCUGUGGUACCAUUUUGAAGUUUUCUCAGCUGUUUCCCUUUUCGGCCUUAUGGCCAAUGAAAAAGAGUGUGUGGCACAUUUAGAUGCUUACCUGGCCACAAGAGAUGCCCGCGUCAGAUAUUAGGAGCGGACUCACAAGGCUUCACAAGCGUAAGACCAAGUACCAAGACGAGCGAGACAGUGGAUAAAAUUCAAUACAAAACAAUUUCGACAAACAUGCCGUAUGAACAUGUUGUCACUACAGCCGAAGAUGGCCAAGCAAGUGAUGCCCAUAAGCAAGACAUAUCGCCCGAAAAUCUAGAGGACAAAGAUCAUAACCCGAUGGGCCCUUCGGUCUUCGACAACAUGGAAAUCAGCGUGGUCCAUGUCUUAUCUGCAGAAAUCCGGCCAAAAACAUCCCAACCAAAUUUCCUGGACGGUGACGAAAUUAUCAAGGAGGUCACGCAAGUUAAUUUUGUAACCAUCGAAGAAGUUGAGCAAAUAAGCAAAGAGGAUAAACUUAAAGCAGCUCUCGCCGAACUGUUUCCCUAUUUUUCAUCCAUUGAUCUUCAUCACUUGAAGCCGUUGUAUGUCAUGGCCCAUAUUGAAGGAUGCCCGAUUUCUAAAAAAAAAUUUGAUUGUGGAGUAACAAUCAACAUCAUAUCCGUUUUUAUCAUGAAAACACUACAUUAAUCCAAUGAGGAACUCAUUCCAUCAGAGGUAAGCAUGAACAUCUUUGUCGGUGACAAAUCUCAGACUAAGGGAGUCAUUCUUUUAGAGGUGAAAAUCGUAGGUUAAAAUCACAUGACCUUAUUUUUUAUAGUCGAUUCAAAGAUCGAGUAUAAUGCAUUCCUUGGUCGUGACUGGAUCCACUAAGCUAGCUAUAUCCCUUCGUCAUUAUAUCAAGUCCUCAUCUUUCGAUCGUAGUUCAUCCGGCCGACAAUCAGUCGUUCGAAGCUAAUAUGCUUCAAGCUCGCUAUUAUAAUCAUCACGUCGGCUACAUCACCCCGCAAGGUUUUAACGAAGAAGGACGACCGACUCGGAUCUCAGUUCAGAAAGCCAUUGAGGUUGACACCAAGACUGUUCACCAAGAUUUAAAGUAAACUUAGUAGAGUUCCUCGUCGAAUGAGACAACGGUCCAAUCCUGUCACUUGAUAAAGUCUAAGCUGCCUUGGCCGAUAACCCUUGGCAUUUAUUUAUUAGUUCUUUGUUACCCCAACCUAUGAAAGUUGAGCUUUGUAAAUUGCCCAAAGAAUUUAAAUACUAUUUCGCUUGGAGUUACCAUGAGAUGCCUGGCCUAGAUCGCACAUUCGUCGAGCAUGAAUUACGAAUCAAGGUUGGUUGUAAACCUUUUCGCCAACCCCCCUCUGAUAAUUCUCGAUCGAAGUUCAACUUGGCAUAAAAGAUGAACUCGUUUGACUUUUAAAAGCCGGUUUUAUUCCGAUAGCUUGAUAUGUCAAAUGGUUGGCGAAUAUUGUCCCAAUUUUAAAGAAAAGUGAUGCUCUACAUAUUUGCAUUGAUUUUCGUAAUUUAAACUUUGUUGAUGCACAAAACCGGAGGUCUUGGAACAACGUAAAUCCGACCGUGAAUCUGCAGAAAUGUAAAUAACACAAGAUGUAUUGUGGUUCACCCCAAGAUUUGGGCUACGUCCACACUGAUAUUGUAUUUAUCUGAGAGGUGAGGGAGAGAAUGUGAGAGCCUCUGUAAUGAGAGUGAGUCUUUGAGAGGAGGUUGAGUUUUUGAGAGGGGGUGAGAGGUUCUAGGAAUUGACCUCCUCCGAUUGUGAGGGUGAUUAGUCCUUUUAUAGAAUAAGGGCUCCUCACUUAUUACAUAUUUGCCCAUUCCUUUAUUACAUAAUUACAUUUGAGUCCCCCGAGUAUUUAUAAGAGAUCUAAAUACGGAGGCCCUAAGUAUGGUACAAACAGUAGUCCCCCAAGUCUUCAGUCAAGAGAGUCUUUUGGCUGGAGACUUGAAAUUCAGUCCAUGUGUGGGCCAAAGUAACUAGAUGUCAUCUUGAACAGAUACUUAAUAUGAGGUGGUGCUUAAAGUGAAAUGAUGUUCAACUAGAAGUAGCACAUGUUGCGAGGCUGCUCUGCUUAUGGCUUAUGUUGCCUUGGUUAGCUCGGCUUGUUGCGUUUGAAGGUGAGGGAGUCCCUUUUAUAGAAUAAGGUCUCGCUCCUUAAUACAUAAAUGAUGGGCUAGAGUUGAUGCUCGCGGCGAGGCGGUUGCUCAGUAGGCGGUGAUGCUAUCUGAUGAUGGUGAGGGAAUCCCUUUUAUAAAAUAAGGGCUCGCUCCUCAAUACAUGAAUAAUGGGCUAGAGUUGAUGCUCUCUAAUGAUGAUGAGGGAGUCCCUUUUAUAGAAUAAAGGCUCACUCCUCAGUACCUGAAUAACGGGUGCUCUCUAAUGAAAGUAAGGGAGUCCCUUUUAUAAAAUAAGGGCUCGUUCCUCAGUACAUAAAUAAUGGGCUAAGUUCCCCAAGUAUUUUUCAUGAGGCCUAGUUGAGGCCCAAUAUAUGGUACAUAAUGUAGUCCCCCAAGUAUUCGGUCAAUAGAGUCUUUUGGCUAGAGACUUCAAAUUGAAUCCAUGCAUGGGCCGAAGUGGCGGUUGUUCAGAAGCGGUAUUUGUAUACGCUGUACUGAAGCUUUGUAGGUGAAGCUUUGCAAGUGAAAGCUUUGAAGUUGGAGCUCUGUAAAUGAAGCUUUUGAAGCUAGAGCUUUUUGUAAAUGAAGCUUUUGAAGCUAGAUCUCUGUAAAUAAAGCUUUUGAAGCUAGAGCUUUUGUAAAUGAAGCUUUUGAAGCUAGAGCUCUGUAAAUGAAGCUUUUGAAGCUGAUUGACAUGAGUGAUGCUCAUGGAUGUUGACAUGAGUGAUGCUCAUGAAUGUUGAUAUGAGUGGUGCUCAUGAAUGUUGACAUGAGUGAUGCUCAUGAAUGUUUAUGUAUGAUUGAUAUGAGUAAUGCUCAUGAAUGUUUAUGUAUGAUUGAUAUGAGUGAUGCUUAUGUAUAAUUUUGAAGUACUAGGCGUACUUUUGAUCACCUAGUGGGUGAUAAUGGCGGUAGGCUGCCGAAUAAUUUUGGAGUACUGGGCGUCUUUUGAUCACCAGGUUGGCGAUAAUAGCAGCGGGGUGCCGAAUAAUUUUUUUGUGGUACUUGACGUACUUUGGUUCACCUGGUUGGUGCUAUUUUGGGCUUAUGGGCCUUCGCCCUCUACUCAACAUUCCAGCCCAUUUAUUUUGGGUUUUGCCGUUUUAUUUUAUUUUAUUUUUUUUAUCCUCUGACGGGGUUUAUACAGAUGCCUCCGAAAGAUAAGAAAAAUAAAUUACAUCAUUCAAAAAUAAAUCUGACCACCCUCUGCUCAGUGGGUCACGCCCAUAAUGCCAUCACCACCACAGUUAUGUCUGCUUAUUUUUAUCUUCUUUUGCUUUAUGUUUGCUUUUGCUUUUGUGAGAGUGGUUAAGCUGUCUGAGGGAUAAAUGUAUGCUUUUCCUUUUCACCUGCAGGCAUACUCACAUGCAGCCUUUCUUUUUCUUUUUUCUUUUCACUUUCUGCUUUGCUCUUUCCUUUUUUCUUUUCACUUUCUGCUUUGCUCUUUUCUUUUGUUGGAUAAGUGCGACCAAGCAUCAACAUGCUAGCACUUGUGAAUGUUUGGUAAAACUAAGCCCUUUGUUGGGAAAAGCUAUUCCCUUCGUCAAAAGCUAUACCCCAGGAACUUUGCUGUCUCUGAGACAGAAACGUCAACUAUGAAAAUGAGAUCCAGCAGAGCUUGCAUUCCCAAAAUGAACUUAUGAUUCUUUCCAACAUGCAUUCUGGUGGAAUAUCUGGUGGAGAAUCCGUACUACCAUAGGCAUAUUUCAGCUUGCAAGUGAUCUUAGCAAUCUCCCCAACCUUCAUGGUUUUCACUGCAAAAUCCCAAGCCUUGAUCACACUACCUUUCCCAACCUCAAAUGAGAAAAUUGUAUUACCUUCAUGCAUCGUGUCAAAGACUUUGCCGGUUUCCUCCCUAAUGCCUUCAUAAUGAACAUCAACGAGCGGAAGGUCUUGGGUCAGGGCAGCUGCAUCUGGUUUUGUAUGCAGAAAUGUAAAUAACACAAGAUGUAUCGUGGUUCAUCCCAAGAUUUGGGCUACGUACACACUAAUAUUGUAUUUAUCUGAGAAGUGAGGGAGAGAAUGUGAGAGCCUCUGUAAUGAGAGUGAGGCUUUGAGAGGGGGUGAGAGGGCCUAGGAAUUGGCCUCCUCCUAUUGUGAGGGUGAGGAGUCAUUUUAUAGAAUAAGGGCUUUUCACUUAUUACAUAUUUGCCUCUUCCUUUAUUACAUAAUUACAUUUGAGUCCCCCGAGUAUUUAUACGAGAUCUAAAUAUGGAGGCCCUAAGUAUGGUACAAACAAACUUGGCAACCCCUAAAGACGAAUAUCCAAUGCCAAUUUCAGACUUGCUAAUCAAUGUUGCAGCAAACCACAAGAUGUUAUCUUUCAUGGGCGUGCUAGGUACAACAAGAUUUUCAUUGCUGAGGCCGAUGUCUGCAAAACUGCUUUUCGUUACCUUGGGGCACUCGGGACCUACAAAUGGGUCGUCAUGUCAUUCGGACUUACGAACGUCGGUGCUACAUAUCAAAUCUCUAUGAAUACCAUUUGUAAUUACUUGAUUGGCAUAGUCGUUAAGGUAUAUAUUGAUGAUGUUGUGGUCAAAUUGAAGCACUGUCGAACAUAUUUAGAUGAUCUUCGGUGAGCUUUCCUUCGUAUGGGCCAACAUAACCUUAAAAUGAACCCUGCCAAAUGUGCCUUUAGUGUAUCGGCAGGUAACUUCUUAGGUUUCCUUGUACAUCAUCGUGGCAUUGAGGUCGAUGAGAAUAAAGCUUGAGCGAUCAUUAAUGCUCCAACCCCAACAACCAAGAAGCAAUUACAAUCCUUACUCGGUAAAAUCAAUUUCCUCUGCUAUUUCAUUUCUAACUCGACAUGGAAAAUGAAGACUUUUUCCACUAACUUGAAACUUAAGGAUUUUGACAUAUUCGAAUGACGCGAAGUACAUAAGGACGCUUUCACGUAAAUCAAGGUAUUCCUCACCACCCCACCUGUCCUCAUACCAACUCAGCGCGGUAAACCUCUUAAGUUGUAUAUCUCGACUGCCGAGGAAUCCAUUGGCUGUCUUCUUGCACAAGACAACCAUACUAGGCAGAAGUAGGCCAUUUUUUAUCUUAGCCGAAAUCUUAACUCGACUGAGAAAAAUUACUCAGCUGUUGAGAAACUUUGUUUGGCUUUAUUCUUUGCUUGUGUCUAAACUCAGUCAUUACAUGCUCAAUUCUGUUACUCAGGUGAUCACCCAGACAAAUGUUAUUCGCUAUAUGCUCACUCGACAACUCGACUGAGAUAAAUUACUCAGCUGUCGAGAAACUUUGUUUGGCUAUGUUCUUUGCUGCGUUUAAACUCAGGCAUUACAUGCUCCAUUCUGUUACUCAAAUGAUCACCCAGAUAGAUGUUAGUCGCUAUAUGCUUACUCGACCGAUAGUAAAAAGCUGAAUUGGGAAAUGGACAAUGGUGAUGUCCGAAUUUAGUUUGUAAUAUGUACCCCAAAAGGCCAUCAAAGGACAUGCGCUGACCGAUUUCUUAGCUUAACAUCCUUCUCCAUACGCUUUUGGAGGCAAUGACAUCGAAAUUGGCAUGGUGGAAACACGUGAUAAUUAUUGGACGAUGUAUUUUGACGGCUCUAGUACCUUGACCAUGGUGGACAUUGGAAUCAUCAUCCAGUCCCCUGAUUACUACCGAUGGUAUUUUUCUCUCAAGUUGGAUUUUGACUGUACAAACAAUCAGGCGGAAUAUUAAGGCCUUGUUAUCGACUUUAAUGUCCUUUACGACUUGAAGGCAUCCCGCGUGCUCGUCCUCGACCAUUCAGAACUUGUGAUUAACCAACUCAAUGACACUUUUCGUUGCAUGAAUUGUACUUUGGUGCCCUAUCGUAUGGUUGCCAGUUAUUUAGCCGAAUCAUUUGCAGGCAUUAUGUUCAAGCACAUUUCACGAGUUUGAAAUACUGACUCAGAUGAGUUGACUCAAAUAGCCUCCGGAGUACAACUAUUGGGGGUGAACUGGGUCAAGUUAUACCAGUGGUACGACUUCUACACCCAGCCUUGGUUAAUCAACAAGUUAUCCAACAUGACCACAUAAUCCGUACACGAGUUAUGUCCCUACCCUUGUUGUUGGAAUGAGAGAAUCCUAUAGAUAUAUGCACGAUUGAGACAUUACCAGACUACUAAAGAAGAUUAAUCAUGCAUUAUCUUGACAAUCAAGUGGCAAACAGGACUGCAAGACAAAGGUACACGCCACAAAUUACAUAAUGUACCAGAAUGAACUAUACCGAAAAGGUGAAGACAGUCUGUUGUUCUUGUGCCUCAACCCGAUGAGGCUGCCAAAAUUAUUGCAGAGGUACAAGAAGGAAUAUGUGGGGCUCAUCAAUCCGGAUGCAAAACAUGUUGGUUAAUCCAUCGACAUGGUUAUUUUUGGUCAAGUAUAUUAAAAGAUUGCAUUGAAUAUGCGCGAAGGUGUAUGCAAUGUCAAAUCCAUGGACCCAUACAAAGGAUCAGGACCGAAUUACUUCACUUGGUAACCAAACCAUGGUUGUUCAGAGGAUGGGCCAUGAAUGUAAUCGGCAAAAUUACGCGGUCCUCCAGAUCAGCAAAGUAUGCAUGGAUACUUGUGGUGACUGACUACUUCACUAAAUGGGUUAAAGCAAAAUCAUACGUCGAGUUAACAUCCAAAGAAGUUUGUAAUUUUGUAAAAGAAAACAUCGUGACAAGAUUCAGAGUACUAGAAAUGGACAACGACACGAUUUUUACAGCCGACAGGUUUAAAGAAUACACAGCAAGUUUGAAAAUUCAGCUCGAUCAAUUCAUGUCAUAUUACUCACAGGAAAACAGACAGGCCAUAGCAAGUAAUAAAGUUUUAAUCGGUAUCCUUGAGAAAAUGAUAAAAGAAAAGCCUGAUAAGUGGCAUUUGAAGUUAAACAAGGCAUUAUAGACAUAUCGAACUUUACUCCGAACAGCAAUAGGGACGACCUCAUAUGCAUUAACUUACGAACAUGAUGCGAUGCUACCGGUCGAGCUAAGCUUAAACUCGUUACGAGUUAUUGAACAAAGCAAUUUGGUCAACGCCGAGUAUAGUCAGUCUAUGAGGCAAGAGUUUGAGGAUUUGGAAGAAGCUCGGCUCGAUGCCUAUAACUUGCUAGUGGUGCAAAAAAAGAUUGUUGAAUGAGCUUAUAAUUGAUGAGUCAGGCAAAAGAUGUUCGGCGAAGGUGAAUUAGUGUGGCAAACCGUUUUACCAGUAGGGAUAAAAGACCCCAGAUUCGGGAAAUGGUCACCGAAUUGGGAAUGACCAUUCAUCGUUCACAAAGUUCUCGGCAAAGGGGCAUACCACCUCAAGGAUUGAACUGGUUUAAUUCAUAAAUUACGAAUCAAUGAGAAAUUCUUAAAGAAAUAUUAUCCAGUCACUUAGGAGAAUAAAGGAUUUAUUUCAUUAAUCUUCAAAAAGGAUAUAUACAAAAUUACAAAAAGAAAUCAACCAUCCUACAACUAAAGGCACAAAAAUCCUAAGAAGUCGACAGAAAAAAAGCUUUAAAAGUGGCUUUAAGUUCUAGCCACUUCACUUCGCCCAUUGUAACCUUGGCUUGUCGUGUUCUUUUGUCAGCCUUUAGUUACAAUAUUCGUUUAGCACCAGUAGUGUACUUUUCCAAUCGAGGUUUGUUUGGCUUAAAAUCAUUGUCAAGCUCAGAAGCAACAGGCGAUCUCUGACGUUGAAGUUCGGUGAUCUGACGGUCAAGGUCUGCCAGUCUUUCCCUCUUUGCCUUUAUUACCUCAAGCUUUGGUCGGAUAGCUUCGUGAGUGACCAUUGUAGCCUUGAAGUCGUCCUCUACUCGAAGAGCCUUCUCUAAAACAAUGAAAUAUUGUCGAGUUCUUUCCAGGAUAGUUGACAGAUGAACAUAACUUUUGUUGCUCAGUAAGUCGUCGACUGCAAGGUUGUUUAAGCAUUCUCUUAUAGAAUUGAGGCCUUUGCUUUGGAGGAUUUGUGAGGUCGAGAGAGUUAGAAGUUCCUACAGCUUGGCAAGGGCACUAAACUCAACAGUGGAUCCAGAAAGCGUAAUUGUCCCCGAAGUGCUGAGAGAAAGACAUCAAGCUCGACUUCCUAUGAAGGCUACACAGAAAAGAUUUGUUAGAGAAAAGAGAAUUCAAAAUAAUGGUAGAUAAAAAAGUUGUGUUAAACCUGCCGAAAAGAGACUUCGGCCAUUUCUGCUGGUUUGUUAGUCGAACCCAAAAAGCUUAAUGGCUGAGCCUAGUGUUUAAGGCAGCUUUUCAUUUUAUGCGGCCGAUGAAGAUUAUCUAUGUUUGAUAGCUACCAGGAUGGCCAAGAAAUAUAAAUAACGCCAUUUGGUGCAUAAAAUUUUUGGUGAAAUAAGCGACUGGGCACCUGGCAUUUAAUGUUUUUCUUGGUUUAGAGUUUUAGGGCAGGAAGUUAAUAAAAGAAAAUGAUGAUGAGUCUUACAAAGGUCGAAGUAGCCUCAUGAGGAGGGAUGCCGAGGUCCUGGUCCUAUGGAUGAGCUGGCGUUUUUAUCGUCAAUUCUGGCUUAACAAAGGGUGCCACUUUAUGUUCAAGACCUACUCCAGCUGCAUGGGGCUUGACCUGGCUAGCCGUCUCGACUACACAUUUACCCUUGUCCAUAGGCAAAUGACUUGUAGUUGAUGGUUCAACCCAUCGAGGGCGCUUUACUAGUGAAGGUACUUCGCUCUCAUUCUCCUGAUUAUAAAAAAGGAUCGUUUGUUACUCGAGAUAUCCAGUCAAAAUGAAAGGAGAACAUGAAAGGAAAUUGUUAUACCUCUUCUUCCAGGAUGAUCAUGGGAUUUUUCUUUGGAUUAAAGGAAGAGUUUCUUUCGGUCGCGGUUGUCGUUUGCUCUAGAGUAGCAACUGUUGGGCCAACAUCAACAAGAACAACAGCCAGCCCCGAAGUUGCAAGUUCAUCGAUCACUGGGGAACGACUGUUUUAACUUCAACAGUGACUUGCGUGGUGGGUUGAACCAUGGUUGCCUGGCCCAUGGUUGGGAUCGAAGGGUCUUGCGAUCCAUUUACUGACACUUGGAAACCGGAGAAGGUAGAGGGAUACUAGGAGUGGUUGCUCCUGUGGUUUGACUCGAAAUGACAUAUAUCUCCCGCUCUCUUUUCUUUGCCUUCUUCUUAACACGUUUGUGGGGUUGGGCAGCAUUACAGUCGUCUAAGCCUCCGAGCAAGGCCGUUUUCUUGGUACGGUCGGCACAGCAGUUGCAACCUUCUUUGAAUGAGGGGCAAGUUUCUUCAUGGCUACAACCAUCGCAACCACAUCAGCCCAUCUUAUUGCACGACCACUUGGAAAAGCUAAACCUGAGUCAGAAUGCAGUUUAAAAUGAAUAGAUGAACAUAGAAGUAAAAGAUAAAUACCUUGGGCCGUUUCUUUGGAUUUUAGAGCAAAAGUUUUCUUUGGUUGAUCGCCAAAAAGUUUCUUUGAAACUUCCUCGGUCGAAACACCGAAAAAUCCUUGAUAUAGGCAUCCUACCAAUCGACAAAUGUGCUGGUACAAUGGGUUUCUGGAGUAUUUGGCCAAAAGUGGAAUUUGGUACAUCGUUCUUGGAAUUUUUUCUCAGCUUCCUCGCAUUCCUUCUCCGAGGAGUUGGAAAGGCAUUCUUGGCUCAAGACUUAGCGAGAAGUAAGGAGCGAUACAAGACAUCCUUGAAGAUAUCCCAAUUACCGAGCCAUAAAAUGGGGAUGGUAGACCUCCCAACUGGCUCGUUGGGCAUCGCAACUAAAGGGAAGGUUGCGACCUAGGGUAAACGACCCCUAAGAUUGUCGAAUGCCAGUUUCCUUUAUUUUCUCCCAUGUCGAUGUUGGGAGUUGGAUGAAAGACGGAUAUUUCUGAAGGCGGCAGACUAGAAACUCGUCUGACAAAUCUUCAAGGCUGAAGAAAUACUUGAAAAUGUCUUCGACCGAGAGAGUGGGAAUAGGGUGCGAGGCCAGUUGAAGACCCAUCCCUUUAUAAGAGUUAAAGUUUGGGAUUUCCGGCCUUAACAUGGAGAAAUAUACUUGCAGGCAGAGUUUAAAUACCUAGAACGGGUCGUUCUGGUGCAGGUCGAUUAUCCCAAUGGAAGCCUCGGCCAAGCACCAAGUAAGAUUGGCGAGGAUGAUCAGGCUGAGGGCUAGGACGUGACCAUUGGCCAGAGCUUCGACCAUUGGCAUAUUCUCGGCCAAGCACUUGUUCAACUUGGUAAAAAAAAUGAAUUCAUUGUACCAAUAAAAGAAAAAUGCCUCGUGUUCUUCUUUCUUGAGGUAUUCCCCUUAUAAGCCAGCAAAGUGGUUGAUUAAGGUGAUGUAGAUGAAGAAGUUUUUGUGUAGUUUAUGCACAUCUUCUUUUGAUGUCCCUUAAUCCUUCUUUGCUAGAACUUCGAUGACACGCUUGUGGAAAACCAUUUUCAGAUCCAGGUCAAAUCGAUACCGAGAAAGAGCAGUAUCAACUGGAAAACCAACAGGGGAAGUGCUGAGUAUGGCUAUGAUAUCCACCACGGUCGGGCCAAUGGGGCCAAGAAGAAGGACCAUAGUGUUAGUGGCCGAACACCAAAAGCUCAGGGCCGCUAUCAGGAUCUCUCAGUGCAUGUUGAUCUCAUGGGUCGAAAGUUUGAUAGUGUCGAAAAUGCCAAAAGUUUUCCACUUAUCGCCGAAGUGUAGCUCUAUACGGGUGACCCAAGCAGCCCAAGUUGCGGAGGUCGAUGGCCAAGCUUCUUGGGGUUUGAUCGAUUCCCACUUUGACUAAUCAUACCCUUAGAAUAAAAGUUUAAGGCAGUAGGCCUUCAUCAUCUCAAUGAUGAUUUCUAGGACGUCGUCCUUAAAAAGUGGUCCCAGAAUCUGGUGAGAGGCGCUUGAAUCACCCUCAAAUCGGAGGGUUUUAAUAGCGUUAUGAUCGAUGAAGUCUCGGUAUUAGUCGCAUUCCUUGGUGGACUUGGUAAUAAAGGUAUUGGUGGCCAUUGAUGAAGGUUUAGAGGUUUUUCUGGGUUUUGAAAUUUGGUUUCUUUUUAUGGGUUGAGAACAAAUGGCAAGAAUUUCUAGAAGUUGAAAAUGUGGAAGUUCGAAUGAAGUUGGGCAGAGUAUUUAUAGGCGAUUAAGGGAGAAGAUCAAAGGCUUAGGUUUAAGAGAUGAAGUGUAAAUCCGACCAAAAAUUUUCAUAAUCAUAACAAACCUUCUGAAAUCUAGGUGAAGAGGCCGAAAAACACCAGAAUUAAGGUUGUACGAUUGUGUGUAACGACAAAAUUUAUGACGAAUAAACGUUUCGGUGUCUACACACCUCGAACGUGGGACACGCAUGAUUGAAGAUGGACAGUCGCAAUGAGGAGCUGCCAUGUGUCAAGAUAUGUAGUGUUUUCAAAAAACUGAUAGGGGAAAGACCAUGCUUAAUAAAUGCGUCUGGGUGAUUGGAGUAUUCGAGGUUUGCAAUAUUCUAUGUUUUUUUCUAGAAGGAAUAUGCUAAGGGUUUAUUCUUUGGCAAUGAAUCACUCCUUCAAGGUCGAGGUUCGGCCAGGAUUUGUAGGUCAAAGACCUCAGAAGCAAUGGGGUAAUGUUUGGGCACGGAGUUAAGAGUCAUUCUCGGCCCAAUAACAUUGAUCUAGAAUCUUGUCAUGGGUUGUCCAGUCAAGGUCGACUGAAUCCUGUUGCGAGAAGGAUUAGUUUAGAUAAGGUGAGGUAGUCAAACCCUAAUGCAACAAGAAGUCUUAAAGUUGAAGAUGCUUAGAAUUAGAGGAUGAAUCGGGUUUAUUAAGGAACUUGGUUCAAAGUCCUAUAGGAGUUAGGAUUAACCGAAACCUGAUCAGGUUGGGUUGAGGAGUUCUAAUCUGAGUACAUUUCUAGUUUGACCAUGAGGGGGUUCGCUGCUAUAAAUAAAGAAGAGGAUGCAUCAUUCAAGGCCCAUUCAAAUCAACACACAAAUUGCCCUGCGCAAAGUUUCUCAACAACCCUGAGAUUUUUUCCUUCUUCCCUUUCUUCCCGUUAACACAUCUUCAAUUUGGAUAAACAGCACUGUGAAGGCAACCGAUGACAUCUUCAGUUUGGAUAAAUAACACUGAAGCCGUAGAAUUAGUUGACUGAGGAGCACCUUCAGUUUGGAUAAACAACAUUACUUCGAGACCGACUGGUUAUUAUCCAAGUCUCGGUCGGCAAGGAUUCUCUAGUCCUUGUUGGUAGAGGUCAUCUUAUCAGCCUUCUCUGCGAAGUAAGGUGUUACAGGUUACUAGGCUCAGCAUAUUGAACGCCGAGUGUUAUUUUGUGAUCGGAUAUUCGCAAGUACAUUUUAAAGUUCGGCAUUCCGAUGGUCAAACCACAUUUACAAUCAAGACAUUUAUCUCUUUCAAGUAUUUAUGUCCGUACAGUUUGGUACUAGUUCGGUGUACUUAUACUCUCACGAAUAUAAUUACCAAGACCAAACCUAACGUCGACGAUUCGUGAACUUCAAAGAAACUAGCAGUCUUGUCUUCAAGCUCUAGAACCCAAAGGCCGAGACGUGUUCCUUCCUUGGCUACAGUUGUAAGAUCAAGAAGUCAGCAGCAUGCCCAAUGCAACGUCAACAUAUUUUACUCCCCGGCCGAACUCAGCCGACGAGUUGGCACGUCCCGCACACAAUCGAAUGACGUAAUUAGCUUAUUAGUUACUUGACAUGCACGCCACAUAGGCUUAGUAGUUUUUAAGGUCAACAAAACUAAUAAGCAAUACACACAUGCAAUUAUACAAGUGUAGCUUGUUAUUACUAGGACCUACCUAUCGACCCAUUGCUUGUUUGUGCUUAAUCAUACCACCUUCCUUGAGGAAUUAAUUGGUGCCAAAUUCGUGAAAUGUCAAAGGAAUGACCAAAGCCAGUUGUCAAUAGUCAAAUUUCUUCCCACCAACACUGCCAAUAGAAUACAGACUUCUUUUUUUUUCUUUUUUUUUUUUGGAAAAACACCAUGCCAAAACAUGGUGAAACAUUUAUUGCAACAACACAAACUUACAACCAAGGCCCAAAACAGAUACACAAAGCCAAACGGGGCCAACCAAACACACCAAAACAAGCCCAACCAAAAGUUGGAACCGAAUAAAACAGAAAACUAGAAACAUCGCUGCAACCCUUGUUGCAACCACCACCGCAACCAACAUUGCCACAGUCUAUCUCCCAACCAAGCUGCGCCUCAGUAAAACCCAGCAACCAAUUCCAAUCUUCAGUCCAAACACAGCCACAUAUCACCAAAAACCUGCAGCAAUGAUAAAGAAGCACGUGGAAAUCCACGAGCAACACUGCCAACCAAGGCAGACAACAAAGAGAAUGUGGGGGUGUUUGGAACACCCAACCCAGUGCAUGCACUAGAUCAGAGCACACCGACUCAACAAGCUGCAUCUCAUGGCGAAACUUGACCAAAGAUCAGAAAUUAGAGGAAGGGUAAUGAGAGACAGCAGUGGGAGGAGAAAAGGGUAAAUCGAACCAUGAAGCAAGGGAAAGAAGCAUUGGAGAUGAGAAGAGAGGGAGACUGAUAGGAGCAUAUUUAUGCGACUGAGUUAGCUUGUUCUCAUGCAUUUAUGUUGUUAUUUCUUAGUUAAUUAUGUAUUUUAAGCUAUUUUCGUGUGUUUGUAGGUCCAUAGGCCUUAUAAAGCAAUAAGAUGCAUUUUGGUGCAUUUUGGAGCAGUUUUGGGCUUGGAAUGGAUAGCACAUGCAUGGAGCAAGGUGGAUGGAUGAAAUUGAAGACUAAAGAGGCUAGGAAUGUGUUAAAGAGAAAGAAGAAUUAAUGUAAAAAGGACAAAGAGCUCAGCCACAAAGGGGUGUCACUCCAGCAUUCACAUUUCCAUCACUGUCGUGCACCACCAUUGCACUCCCUUUGGAUUUCUAUGUCGUGCAUCAUCAUCCAUGUUCCCUCCACUGACUCAUUUGUUGCAUCAUUCCACUUCAUUUCCUUUGUCUACCAUGUGCACAAUAUCCUUUCACCUCCUUGCACUCAUUGAUUCACCACUUACUCACAUUUCCACCCAUGCCAUGCAUAAUCACCCUUGUCCCCUUCAUGCACCAGGUUUCUUGCACUCAUUUCAUGUACCAUUACACUCAUUAUCAACCCAUGUCGUGCACCACCCUUGUCUCCUUCAUUAUUUCUGAUUUCAUGCAUCAAAACAUUGAAUCAUUGCACUCAAUUGCUGCACAUUUCUUGUCCCCUUCACCCAUCAGAUUUCAUACAACUUUUACCUCUACUACAUGCAUUCAUUGAUGCACCAUCCACCACAUUUGGAAUCUCAUGCCGUGCAUCAUGAGUCUUGCUGCACCUUUGACUCAUUUCUGCACCAUUCCACCUUCAUUUCCUUUCUCUACCAUGUGCACAAUCAUUCAUGUUCCCUAACUGCAACACCAUUCCAUUUUACCCCCUGAUGCUUUGCAUCAUCACUGCACUUUCACCUUUGAAUCAUUUCAAACACCACUCAAUGCACUCAUUGCUGCAACACCACUCCAUUUUACCCUCAUGCUUUGCAUCAUUACUUCAUUUUCACCCUUGAAUCAUUACACACAUCACCAAUUUCCCUCCAUUACCGUGCACUUCCUCUAUAAAAUGUAGUGUGUGUGGCAGCCAUAUAGUUUAGUUUUUGCUUGAUCAUUCAUCCCUAUUUCAAUACAACCUUCAUCCAAACACAUCCAUUCAUCAUUACAUCUAUUCCUCCAUACAAACAAACAUUCAAACACUCACCAACACCUUGUGCCAUAGCAAAGGAAGGGAAGGAAAGUGCUUGGACGUGCUUGCUGUCCAACUUGGAUCGUUUAAGCGUUUAAGUGUUUUCUUUCUUUUGUUUCUAAUGUUUAAAUUUAUUUCCUUUCGUUUUGUUGUAAAUAUGUGUGGCUAAACCCCUCUUGGCUAGGGGUAAUUUCAAAGCCAUGACUAUGUGUGCAAUAUAAUUUGAUAAAUUCCAGUUAUGAACUCUUGAAUCGUGAAUGCAAUUGGCAUGCAUAAAUCCGAUGCUAGAAUAUAAGAAAGUUUCACAUAAUCGUUACAAACUUAUAUUCAUAAGUAGUGGAAGUCGCUUAUAAACGAUCGCGUUAAGUUCAAUUCCUAGCAUGAGUAACAUGAUGUCAUAGUUGUAAGUGUUUUGUCAAUGCUUAUGAUUUUCAUUAAACGUAAUGAUCUUUGAUUGUAUCUCUAUUAUGAUGUCAUGUAAGGAACUUUUGAAGAAUGUUUUGGGUUGUCGAAUGAUGUCAUCCAAUCCAAUAAAACAAGGAAAAUCUGAGAGUUAACUAGUGAUGUCACGGUUAAUUUGGAGCAUUGUCAUUCAUAAUUCAAUGAAGUAGUAACUGGAAAUCGAGUUAUUUGCAUACAUGUCAUGUGUGGAGAAAAAGCCUCUAGCUAUCCCAUCCAUCAUCUUAUUUCUCACAUUUGUUUUACAAUCUGUCUAAUUUUUCAUACUUGUUUGUUUGUUUCAACUUCAUCCAAAUCAAAACCCUCCCUUUUAGUUUCUUGUUUCAAAGUGUUUCAAAUCUGUUUUAGUUUGUGUUCUUAAGUGUUUUGAUUCAAGUAAAAGUCAAUUUUCGUCCAAAGUCAUUCCUAGUGUCUAGUUUAAGUUUAUUUGGUUGUUUUAAGCUGUUUUGAGUAUUUUAAGUUUGCUUUGAGUCUUGUGAGUCUUGUUAAGUGUUUUUAAAUUUAGUUUUAUGUUUUUGAGUCAGUUUAGAGCUUAUUAGCAAGCCCUCCUAAUUCCCGGUCCAGAACGAUCCCUACUUAUACUUGUACUACAAUUGUUAAAAGAGGGUUAAAUUUGUGUGUUAAGAUAAUUUUCGCAUCAGAGACCAAAGCAAAAACAAAGAGCACCCACCGAUCCUAGCCGCAGCCAGGAUCGACGGCAACAAACUGGAACACGAUGGAGAAACACUCACACGAAAGGGUGAGAAUCGCCCUCAAAUAGAAGGAAGGUCUCUCACGGGGGAGAGAAGUUUAUGUGGAAGAUGAAAUCUUUGGUUCACAAGGCUGAUACGGACUCUUUACUUCUGUUUCUAGAUGAUAUAUUUUAUGAAUGAGAUGGUAGGACAUCUUUAUUCAAUUUUUUUUUUUAAUUGUCAAGGCCAAUCUAGGGCGUUUUUCAUUAUCCCUAAAACUAAAUAUACUCUCAUUUUCGAGAUUUUCAUUUUACACUUCAUUUUCCAAUACUUUUAUUUUGUAACGCAUAAUGACGAACAUAGAGGGUGAAUAAUUGGUUUGCAUGGUAGGAUUUGUUGGAAAAAAAUUGGGUGAACACAUAAAAAAUAAAGAAAUAAUUCAUGCAAUUACAUAUUAAAAUUAAUGCAUGCAUAUGAGUAACCAAUGCUAAAUAUGACAUAAUGGAUUAGAAAAACCUGAAAAUUCGAUCAAGGCAAGUGUUAAACACUUUGUCCUUAAGACAAGUUUACACCCCACUACGAUGUUCAUGGUUGAUUGGCGCAUGUCUCCCAAAAUACAACAACCACGUCCUUGUAAAAGUAGCACUCCAAAUCACAAGGCUCCAUGAACCAUGAUUGUGUUGAAAACUCUCUCAUAUGGACUCAAUGAAACUCUCUAAUACUCUAUGUAUAAUUAUGUAAACAAUGAAAAAAAAGUUAUUUUGUAAUUAUAGGGGGCUUCCCCAUUUAUAUAAUGUGAGAUACCUCUUUGGAAAACAUGUGACUAUUCAUGAAGAGUCAAAAGUUGCAACACUUCAUUUAAGUGGACAUAUCCGUCUACCAAAAGACUUCACUUCUAAUUUCCAUUCAGUUAAUAAAUUUAAUAUAAUAAUAAUAUUAUUAAAUUUUCCAACAAUCCUCCACAUGAAUGGAAAUUGACUCAAUACCAUGCAAAUGACAAUGCAGACACUAGAGAGAGAAUUCAGUAAGAAAAGUAGCGCAUCGUGAUAGGUGGCUUUUAGGGUUCAAUAGGAAAAGUACUACAAUGUCAUUAUGCGAUUAAAUUUGUAGACUAUAAAAAAUAAGUACGUUAAUCAAUACUUAAGUAUUAAUCCAAUCAUCAACUUUCAUAUUAUAUAAUUUACAAAUUUUAUCUAGAUCAGUCAUCUCUCCCUAUUUUUCUUUAACUUUAUAUUGUUUUAGCUGAUAUUAAGAUUAAGCUGCUGCUGCAAUUCCUAGAAACGGGGAUUGGAAAAUCAGUCAACAAUAAAAAGACCAACAGACAUUUUUGAAUUAAAAUAAAGUUGUCAAAGUGGGAACUGGUGACUAACAGCUCACGCACCAUGGUCAGGCCAGGGCACCACCGCUGGUCCACUUCCUCUCGGUCCCCUUUUGUGCUUUCCCUCCCUCCCACUCAAAUAAAAUAUCUAGCAAAGUGGAUAAGUUGGUAAACAUGACAGAUUAUUAUAUAUGGCAAAACUUGCAUUAAAACGAUAUUCAUGACGACCGGUCACAUACACAUCGGAAUCAGUGCAAGCAAAGUCAACCUGCAUUAUUAUUAGGAAGUUUUAACGAAAAGUUCACGGUACUGUUUAUUUUAACGAAAAACCAUAUUUUUAUACUAUAAAGUUAAACCUGGUACUAUUCACUUUACCAUUUAUUUUGUCAUUGUCAUUAAAACUCAAAGUUUUCAAACAUUUUUUAUUAGUUUUCCUUUAUUAUUAAAGAAAACUAAUAAAAAGAGUUUGAAAACUUUGAGUUUUAACGACAAUGAUAAAAUAAAUGGCAAAAUAAAUAGUACUAAGAUUGAUUUUUUAGUGUAAAAAUGUGGUUUUUCGUUAAAGUGAAUAGUACCGAGAACUUUUCGUUAAAGUUCUUUUAUUAUUAGUCAUUACUAUUAAGUGGCACAAGCCGAUAGAUAAAUUCAAAGUGCGAACGCUUGCUAUCUUGUUUCUUCUUUUUAUUAUACUGUUUGAACCCCCUUUUGCAUUAUUUUUUUUUCUUAAAAAAAGAAAAGAAAAGACAAUUGAUAGUAAGUUACGGUUAUUCAUCCUAGGGCUAGGCACAGGCCAGGUCGGGCCCAAGGGACCGGACCGGACCGGGUUUAAAAUAAACAGGCCGGGCCAGGAUGGUUACAACAUAUUUUAAUACAUGAACCGGACCUAACUCAGCCUGGUUGAAACAGGCUGGUUCGGGCCAGGUCUACUGGUCUUUUUUUUUUUUAGGAUACAAUUCAAUCGGCACCGCCCGAACCACCACCACUCAAGGCCGUCUCCGCCCAUGCACACCUCAUCAUUAGAUCCAAACCCACCAAACCCAGUUCCAAAUUGCCACCCAUAAUGAGAUUCGACGCUGCCCAACUCAGAUUUGCCUCUUCUCCUGCUCAAAUCUUUGAUAAGAAGCAUGAAAUCGAAUCAUAUGCACUAAAUAUAUGAAGUUAGAUAGAGAGAGACCAUAGCGACAGAGGAAACGAGGGCAUAGGCGGCCCAGAGAGCGUAGAAGAUGUCGCCCUGCCACCAGGAGGACUCGUUGAUCUCGUCCCACCAAUUGAAGAACAUUGAGACGACUUCCAUGGGCGCAGAGCUCAAUAAUAGCAGUGGCAUUCUCGUCAUUUCACGGCAAAGCUCCUCCAAGAGCGCGAGAAGCUCAGCGAGCGAGCCAAAGUCAAAACACUUAAGAAGCGGAGAGCAGAAGAAACUUAACUCGUCAUCGCAUUGGAGAUUCGACAAAAUCGAAAUUGCAAAAUCGAGAAGAUGGGUGGUGCGUAUGGAUUAUGAUUCUCUGUUAUUAUUCCUUUUAUUUUUACAAAUUACAAAUAAAUAUAUUGGUGCUAGUUUGUACAACUUGCAAUUGAACAAUAAUAUACAUAUGAUGGUUUCUGUCGGCAUCGGCCUGUCGAGAGUCGUGACAUUAAAAUUGAUGCUCUAUCCUCCGUCGAGAAUCCUAGAUCUAUAUAAAAAAAAAUUAAUCACGGUGUCUUUGUAUCUUAGAGUCAAUAAUAUUUGUUUUCCUUUGCAAAUAUUAAAAUAACAUGCUUCAAAGCCUAGUUUGUUGCAAAUGAAAUAAUGUAGUUUGACGUCAUGUUUACUUGACAGCAAUGAAAUAAAGUACAUGAUAAUAUGAUCAGCUAUCUGACCAUGGAGUAUUUUAUGGUGGGUGAAGCAAGGCUCUCCAUGUACAAAGCCACUUGAGAAGAGCGUACAUCCCCAGCAAAGACGGCUCGGAAGUUUCUGUCUGCCUGACUGUAAAUGACUAGUUUCCUUUGAUGCAAGAGGAUUAGAAUCUCCCCGUUCUUCAAAAUACUCAGAAGUGACAUCAGCCCUAGGUAUUCAGAAUCCAUCUUCUGCGGAAUGGUAGUGAAAAUAGACCAAGAUGCCUUGACCCCGUACUCAUUCAUUAACCACACCUGGUAAUCAGACCCAUGAGGGCUGUGAAGCAUACUCAGCCGCCCUCCUAAAACCCCAAACCAUAGAACGAGAAAUUCUUGUCGCCGUCGCCCGGUAGGGAAACUUGCCGGUACGUCUCCUCCGCUAUAUCGAAAGAAACGAUUGAGAAAGACCUCUUAUCCUCACCGUUUGCGGAAGCUUGAUCAGUAGUCUUUCCGCAGCGGACUGCCCAGUGGAGACCCCCGUUGAGUAGGGUUCCGACAAGGUUGAACAGAAAGUAAAAAGGCAGGGUUUCGGACCUGGCUCUCCAUGUAUUGGUCUUCAAAGAAUAAAUGUCAAGUUGGGUGGCGAAAACGCCAGCCUUACUUGAAGAAGUGGCCCUCACUAUUUUAUAGUCUUCCCUGCGCGAAUCGUA
rnacentral:lncRNA from 1 species